ACUUGCUUUAACAAGUUUAUAGCUAGUUACAUAUAUUGCACAAUAUAUAUUAGGCUAAAUUAUAUAAAACUUUCAUGUCAAAAUCUGAUUUUUUACUUUUCCCUUCUGUCAUUUAAAAACCUACACUUUGCCCCUCCUUAUAAAAUGAAAAAUAUUCACUUCACUUCCUGCCGUUAGUGAUUCGUUAGAAUUUCGUUUAUAAAAUAUUAUUAUAUAUAUUUUUAUGCCAAAAAUGACCUCGGUCUUCUCUUCAAUUGCCAAAAAUGGUGAGGGGUAAAAUUGUCAUUUUGUCAUCACAGUUUGCACCGUAUCCUUCUGUGACCAUUUUUUAUUUUACAAUGGGACAAAGUGUAGAUUUUUAAAUGACAGGAAGGAAAAGUAAAAAAUUGGAUUUUGACAGGAGGGUUUUAUGUAAUUUAGCCUUUAGGGUGUUCCUGAGUUUGCACCCUUUGUAGCUUUCAAGCCCCUUUAUACUAAUUAAUUCUGUAAAGAUAAAAAGAGUAUUCAAAUUUUUAAGUUAAGAAGUUACUAAUUAGCUCAAAUCAAAUAAAUGAAAAUGUUAGAUAGUAAAAUUAAAAUUUUUAAAGAUAAAGUAGCCAAAUCAAAAUAGGUUAUAGUUAAGAUAAAUUUUUUUUUAUAUAUAUAUAUAUUUU
rnacentral:lncRNA from 1 species